rnacentral:lncRNA from 1 species
CAAAUCGGGAAGCAUAGGAUAGGUGUUUUCUUGCCCAUCAUUUGAUUUUUGGCCUCCUCUAUGGCUAAAGAAUACCAUAGGACCAGUCAUUAGUCCUUGACUCAAUCCAUGGUCACCAGUGCAUCCCUUGGGGUCGUUUGGGAAAAACCAAUUCCAGUUGACAUCUAUCCAUGCGAUGGACUGAAUACCUGAUGUUGCAAGAUUGAUCAUCAUCAUUCUUUGGAGAUC